CUGUUGUUGACAUUUUGUGGUUGUUGUUGGAGUUUUUGUUGUUUUGUUGUUGGUUUGGUUUGGUUGGUUUUCAUUAAUCAUUUUUAAUUAACAAUAUUCUUAUUAAUUCUUCAAAAAUUUCAUACAAUAUAUUUUGAUCGUAUUCUUUUCUCACCCCACACCCUCCCAGAAACUCCCCAUCUCCCUACCCACCUAAAUUCAUAUUCUCUCUCUCAAAAAAUAAAGAAAAAUUAAAAUUAAAACAGACAAACUAAAAGCAAAAGAAUAAAAUCAGUUAGACAAAUACCAAAACAAAACAAACAAACACACAUACACAAAACCACCCAUGGAGGUUGCCCAACCACUCUUGGGCAUGUGAUCUACCCACUGUGUGGUUGAUAUACCCAGUCAUACCCAAUGGAGAAGAGUGACUUUCCCUUCACAGAAGGAAUCAAUUACAAAUAGCUUCUUGGUUAAGGGUGGGACUUUGUGUUCACUUGCUCUUCUUAGUGCUGGGAUUUUGUCCUAUUUGAACCUGUUUAGGUUUUGUGCAUACUAUCACAGUCUCCAUUGCUGUGAAGAGAUGCCAUGACCGUGGCAACCCUCAUAAAAGAAAGUGUUUUUAAUUGGGGCUUGCUCAUAUUCAGAGGUUUAGUCCAUUGUUAUCAUGUCAGGAAUCAUGUUGCUGGACAGGUAGCUGAGAGUUCUACAUCUGGAUUGGCAGGCAGCAGGAAGAGAAAGAGACACUGGGCCUGGCUUGAGCAGUUAAAACCUCAACACCCACACACUUCUUCCAACAAGGCCACACCUCCGAAUAGUGCCACUCCCUGGUGACCAAACCUUCAACUCUAUGAGCCUACGGGUGCCAUUCCUAUUCAAACCACCACAACAUGUAUUUCAGUCCUUUUGUGUCUGGAAGACAGUUUCCUUGGAAUCACCCAUCACCUCUGGCUCAUACAAUCUUUCUGUCCCCUAUUCUGCAUAGAUUCUUGAGCCUUGAGGGCAGGAUCUUGAUAAAGACAUCCCACUUAGGGCUAAAUGCUUCAGAGGCUGUCACUCUCUGUACCUUGUCUGAUUAUAGAUCUCUGUGUUAGUUAUCAACUAGUGUAAGCAGAAGCUUCUCUGAUGAGAGUUGAGUGAUGCUCUGCUAUAGGGGUAUAGCUGUAUGUCAUUAGGGGUCAUUUUUUUUUUUUUUACUAUGACUAAUUUCAUAGUGCUGAAAGGUGCUAUGCUCACUACUGGGGAAGCAAAGUAAUUAUCAGCCUUAUCCAGCUGGCAGCCCUAUCGGCUACAGUAACAACCAGCUUUGUAAGAUACACCCACUGGUACAAUAAUGAGUAUAUCAAACCCUGAUGCCCAACCCAGACCAGUUAACCCAAAUCUGCCUUGAUGGAGUCAUGCAUCAGCACACUUAAAUGCUAUAGGAUUAACCACUCACUUUCUGAUUGGCUCUCCCACAAAAUGGAAGCCAUGCCUUGCACUGUUAAUAAGGAUGAAAAGCCAUGAUUAGGUAGAUCAUGGACCCUAGGGAAGAAUCUACUACUCUUAUGUCCUAAAUGGACGUAGCAUUAAACCAGCUCCUAAUGAGAUCAUAGAUUAGCACAUCUUCCAGUCCUCAUCAGAGAAGCUACUUUUUGUAGUAGAUGGUGAUUAACACGGAGACCCACAACUGGGUCACAACAUGUAGCAAAUAAGAAGCAGUGGAAUGCCAGCCCUGAAGUGGACAUCUGUGUCAGACAUAGUCCUCCCAAGGCUCAGAAGUCACCACAGAAGAGGAGUCAGAACAUGAGAAGCAGAAAUAGACGAUUACAGCGCUACAGUAUUUUCUGAGCACAACAGGGCAUUUGCCAUGGCGAGUCACAGUGGUUGUGGAAGCACACAAGAGACUUGUGCGUGAUCAAGUCAGACAAAAUCCCAGCGUGGAAGAUGAAGGCAGACAAGGACGCCCCACAUGGCGCUGAAGAGCUAUUGGCGAUUAACGGCUGCUAGAAGCAGUUCAAGGCAACCUUCCGGAUGUCGGUAAGCCUCUGUUUCCUCCUUUAUAAAAUGGAAGUAAAUCAGUAGAGAAGAGCCACGGUGGGGAUCAAACACAGGUACAGCAGGCAAGAACUGGAGAACUCUCAGUGCACCUGAGAGAGAGAGCAAGAGUGCCUCUCCACUUUAACCAUUCCUGCUCCAAACCUGCAGCUCCAGCAGCCCUAACCCCAAGUUCACUGAUCCAGGCCCUUUGGGAGCUUCAAGGUUUAAAUGUAGAGAAAUAUGCAGAACUAGCAGCUACCUCUCCAGUACCAUGUCUGCCUGCGUGGCACCAUGCUUCCCACUAUGAUGAUAAUGGACUAAACCUCUGAACUGUGGCUGCCUCGCUGGAAUCAUUCAGAAGCUGUCAAUGACUCACCCAGUCAAUUUGAGGCCCAGCAAUAGACUUGGAGUCAGUGGCGCCUGACAGCUGCUCAGUGGCUGGGGAAGAAAGGAAGCAGGAGUGUCCUGGUACAUGAUAGAUGCUCCUGGUCCUAUGGCAGUUGCUGGAGUGAAAAGCAAUCCGUCAUCAAUGUUCCUGGCUGCAGUCUGGCCAAAGUUAAGGUCAGCUAAAGAAAGGACAUCUCGCAGUGUGAAUAA